GUGCUCACUUUGGCAGUACAUAAACUAAAAUUGAAACAAUACAGACAAGAUUAGCAUGGCCUCUAUGGAAGGAUGACACGCAAAUAAGAGUAGCAUAUGAAACUGUA
ensembl:snRNA U6 U6 spliceosomal RNA